UUGAAGACCCUUCUGUUAGGGCUCCGUUCUCCCCUUGUUCCACGGCGAUGGCUGAGCCCCCUCUGCAGGCAAGGGGAGAUGGUGUUUUUGACGAGAUGAUGCAAGCGGCUAAGUAGAUCUUUGACAAUGUCUUCCCCCUCUUGGCCUGCAGAAGUCUCUCCGGUGGUUCAAGUGGAAGAUGGACCAUUUGAGUCCUCUUAUGCUCCUACCCGAGACGGGAUACAGGGGAGGCCUGCCUGAGGCUAAAGCUCGAGUCAGUGCUGUCGUGGCAUGCCUAAAGUUUCACAGGGAUGGGGGCGCGGCUCCCGGAAACACAUUCUGACGAAGGGAGGGUUAAAGGUCUUGCUAGGUGUUUGGGAUGUUCGUGGACGGCUGCGAUGUUUCCAACUGCGGGUGCUUCAGGAGGCAUAGCCUUGUUGUGGUACUCCACCAUUGUCAGGGCUUAGGUGUUUCCUAUCCAUUCUUAGGUUUUGCAUGCUGUGAUUCAAUUUAGAGACUCAGAUCCUUGGAUUUUUUCUGGAAUUUACUCUAGAGUCUCAAUCUUAAACCGUAAUCUUUUAUGGGAUUCACUUUCUUCGGCUGA